AGAGUUUGAUCCUGGCUCAGAACGUACGCUGGCGGCACGCCUUAUACAUGCAAGUCGAACGGAGUAGCAAUACUUAGUGGCAGACGGGUGAGUAACAUGUGGGUAUCUUCCCUUUGGUGAGGAAUAACACGAGGAAACUUGUGCUAAUACCUCAUAAGUCUUUACGGAGAAAGCUUUAUGCGCCAAUGGAUGAGCCCGCACUUGAUUAGUUUGUUGGUGGGGUAAUGGCCUACCAAGACUGUGAUCAAUAGCUGAUUUGAGAGGAUGAUCAGCCACAUUGGGACUGAGACACGGCCCAAACUCCUACGGGAGGCAGCAGUAGGGAAUCUUGCACAAUGGAGGAAACUCUGAUGCAGCGAUGCCGCGUGAGUGAAGAAGGCCUUUGGGUUGUAAAGCUCUUUCGUCGGGGAAGAAAAUGACUGUACCCGAAUAAGAAGGUCCGGCUAACUUCGUGCCAGCAGCCGCGGUAAUACGAAGGGACCUAGCGUAGUUCGGAAUUACUGGGCUUAAAGAGCACGUAGGUGGUUAAGAAAGUUGGUGGUGAAAUCCCAAGGCUUAACCUUGGAACUGCCACCAAAACUUUUUAACUAGAGUAUGAUUGAGGUAAGCGGAAUUUCUAGUGUAGAGGUGAAAUUCGUAGAUAUUAGAAAGAACACCAAUUGCGAAGGCAGCUUUCUGGAUCAUUACUGACACUGAGGUGCGAAAGCAUGGGUAGCGAAGAGGAUUAGAUACCCUCGUAGUCCAUGCCGUAAACGAUGUGUGCUAGACGUUGGGAAUUUAUUUUUCAGUGUCGCAGCAAAAGCGUUAAGCACACCGCCUGGGGAGUACGACCGCAAGGUUAAAACUCAAAUGAAUUGACGGGGACCCGCACAAGUAGUGGAGCAUGUGGUUUAAUUCGAAGAUACGCGCAGAACCUUACCAACACUUGACAUGUUCGUCGCGACUCUAAGAGAUUAGAGUUUUCGGUUCGGCCGGACGAAACACAGGUGCUGCAUGGCUGUCGUCAGCUCGUGUCGUGAGAUGUUGGGUUAAGUCCCGCAACGAGCGCAACCCUUACUUUUAGUUGCUACCAUUUAGUUGGGCACUCUAAAAGAACUGCCAGUGAUAAGCUGGAGGAAGGUGGGGAUGACGUCAAGUCCUCAUGGCCCUUAUGUGUUGGGCUACACACGUGCUACAAUGGUAUUUACAGUGGGAUGCAAAGAGGCAACUCCAAGCCAACCCUCAAAGAAUACCUCAGUUCGGAUUGUACUCUGCAACUCGAGUACAUGAAGCUGGAAUUACUAGUAAUCGCAGAUCAGCGCGCCGCGGUGAAUACGUUCCCGGGUCUUGUACACACCGCCCGUCACACCAUGGAAGUUGGUUACACCUUAAGGCAAAGUGUUAAAACUUUGACUACGGUACGAUCAGCGACUGGGGUGAAGUCGUAACAAGGUAACC
rnacentral:rRNA from 1 species